rnacentral:rRNA from 1 species
AGUGAACGCUGGCGGUAGGCCUAACACAUGCAAGUCGAACGGCAGCACAGUAAGAGCUUGCUCUUACGGGUGGCGAGUGGCGGACGGGUGAGGAAUACAUCGGAAUCUACUUUUUCGUGGGGGAUAACGUAGGGAAACUUACGCUAAUACCGCAUACGACCUACGGGUGAAAGCAGGAGAUCUUCGGACCUUGCGCGUUUGAAUGAGCCGAUGUCGGAUUAGCUAGUUGGCGGGGUAAAGGCCCACCAAGGCGACGAUCCGUAGCUGGUCUGAGAGGAUGAUCGGCCACACUGGAACUGAGACACGGUCCAGACUCCUACGGGAGGCAGCAGUGGGGAAUAUUGGACAAUGGGCGCAAGCCUGAUCCAGCCAUACCGCGUGGGUGAAGAAGGCCUUCGGGUUGUAAAGCCCUUUUGUUGGGAAAGAAAAGCAGCAGGUUAAUACCCCGCUGUUCUGACGGUACCCAAAGAAUAAGCACCGGCUAACUUCGUG